ensembl:lncRNA
UAUGGGUAAACCCUCACCAUGUCCGUUUGUUUUGUCAGGUUUAGACGCAGACACGUAACGUCAGAUGAGUCUGGUCAGUAGAGCUUUAAGGAACUCAUUUGUGUUAAAGAUAGUUGCUUACUUCAUUCAAUGAGAUCGUGUCUGAAUAUCAUAAAAUCUACAGUCAUGCAGAGACUUCUGUUAAUGUUUCACUUAAUGUAUUAUUUUAUUGCCAUAACUACAUGAGUAAAAAAAAGUUGUUGAGACGAUAACACCAUUUUAGGUGUAACUUAUAGGUUUUAAUUAAAUUGGUGAAUUUAUCAUUAAUGCAUGUGGUUUAAACUGUCAAACAUGCAAAUGAGGGGGUGUGGCGGGUCCUAGAACAGUCAAACAUGCAAAUGAGGGGGUGUGGAUGUUACCGGGUGUAUAGAAGAGCUGAAAAACCCAUUGUAACAGCUCAUGGCAAUGACUGUUUUAAAACCCGCCACACACUCCAUUGGCAAAUUUUACAGUGUAAAUCCUAUGGGUCGUUUUGAAGACACGGAUUAAGCCUAGUCUAGGACAACAACAAAAAAUCAGGUUCAAUAGAAAUCUCCAUUGAGCUUGUUUUGUUUCUAGACUAGGCUUAAUGUGUCUUAAUCACGUUCAUUAAGAUGCAGUUGUGCUCGCCUCUUCUCUGAUUCAAUACACCCGAAAGAACCUACGAGCAGACUGUAGAUUACUGAAAGAUGUUUCCGUUUUCAGCAGAGGAAACUCAAGGCACCUGGCAAGGUUAAACGUUUUACUCAAUGUCCAGCCACUGUGAAGACCAACACGUGACCUCGUGAUUUUCCCAUUGGAUGGAUGAAAGGUUGACAUUCACCUCAGCAACCAGAGGGCACCUCGGGACCCCCACCCAAACCAAGAGGCAAUCCAGGGACCCAUAUGUUGGCUGGUACAAGUUAACCUAUAGUGAAAUUGUUUGGAAUAAUAUAGACAGAUUUGUUGUUACAUAUUUCUUAAAAGUCGUUUUUUCUCUCGCUUUAUCCCACACACAGACAUACACUAAUAUAGUUUUUUUUUUCUCAUUAUCGUGGGGACCGGAAAACCACAUCCAUGUUCCAUAUCCCCUAGUGGUUCCCAACCUUUUUCUGUUACUCUAACCCUGAAGUACCCCCUCAUGUUAAUUUCAUUAGUAAGCCUAUGGUGUCAUGAGUGUUUUCAAGUACCCCCUGUGGAGAGGCCAAGUACCCCAGGGGUCCUAGUACUCCUGGUUGGGAACCACUGACCUAACCCAUACCUUAACAUCAGUGAUUACUAUCUUUGUGAUUACUUCAAGUCCCCACAUGUGUACAAUUAGACCUGGAUCUCACACACACAUGCACACGUGCAAAAACACACAUGCAGACACACACACACAACAACAUUGUCAGAAAGUUGCCAUUUCAGCUCUCAAGAUUUGCAAAUAGAACUCAAUCUAGAAUUGCCAUGGGAACGUGAACACAUCAUCACAACCACUCCAAUCCAUGGAUGACAGGUUUGCAAGCCUGUAAUUACUGCCAGGUGCUCUCCAAUUGUUUCUUUGUGGGUGUCUAAUUGUUGGGGAGAAGAUCAUGAUUGAGUUCCUAUAGAAAUGACGCAUCUAUUCAGGCACGGGCACAGAUAGACCCCAGGGCAGGUUUGAGCCUCUGCUAUUUCCCCCCUCUGACUUGACAAGUGCCCUUUUUGCCCAUCGUUCAUCGGUGGACACACGACACGAUUUAUUCUCAUACGGGCAUGCGCCUGUAUUACGGAGUCGGACUAUAACCAGGAAGCCCCCCCCCCCCCCCCCCCCGCAUAUAUUUGAGGAGACCUUUUUUACUCAGUUUGACCCAUGGCCCUUCAAUGUCUUUGCCCCGCCCUGCACCUGUUGCAACGAAGAUUGGCCCGCAAAUUAAAUUCUGCCGAUCUCUCGGCAAACCGCGACUAUGCAUUGGAACCACCAGCACAGUGGAAUUCAGUGGCAACCAUCCCGGUCGGUCGUUGACUAUCCCUUACGCGGAUUCCAGGGGUUUUGUUUCAGUCGUGACUAUAGUCAACAUUUUCUGAGAUAACGCCACCCUUUCCUCUGCAUCAGGCUGGGAAGAAAGUUGUUUUUUGUUUACGCUUUCGGGCCGUUCAAAUAUGGCCGCUAAUCAAAAUCUCUGAUGGAUAAUAAAUCACGUUUUAAAUUGAAUUGUAAGUGCGUUGUAUUUUCAGGAGAAUUAUAGUCUAUUGUAUUAUAAUAAUAGUACUGGCUUGAGGCUUGCAUCUGGUUCUUUUGAUGGAGACGGGGGGGGGUACAGCUUUUCAUGUGGUGCUGCUGCACCUUCUGCUGGCCUACAGAAAUUCUCAAUUUUAUGCGUCCAAAAUAAGUGCUGAUUAAUAAAUGUUAGGAAACACUGUCGUGCCUCUUUACUGCAGCUAUUCAGUACAUUUUAUGAAAUUACAAUGCAGAACGUCCAAUGUGAUAAGAUACAUUGGGUCCAGAUAUUUGGCUCCGAACACAUUGUUUCAACUAUCUAACAUAACUGCCCCAUAAGCGUUGUAUCAGCUGGUCUCCAAAUACAGUUCCUUUGUAUUUGCAACAUGUUAUUUUAGCUCAUAGCUCUGUUUAAUGACCCCCCGCUAACAUGCAGAUAAUGUAUAGGUUGCCAUCUUUGAUGCAGUUCUCAGUACAUUGGUUAUUCUAGACAAUACCGUCAGUCAAGUCAAAUUAUGGCUUGUUAAACAAGUACAAGAAUUACAUUUUUAUGCUUUAUUGUCCCUGUCCAUCGUGGCUGAAGUAAACAUGAUGGAUAUAAUGGUUCUGAAAACAUUUUGUAUCGAGCCUUAGUUAAAGACUGCUUUCACACCAAAGGCCCAGUUGUGAUCUUUUAUUCACUAAUUGGUCUUUUAGCCAGUUGGAUCGGAGCUUAUGAGAAUAGCUUUAAUGUGAUUGUUCCAAAUAACAAUCAGUUGAAGCUAUUAGAAUUGUAUGAGCUGUUUACAAGUAGCCAACAGCUCCUCCCGGCAGGCUUUCUAAAUUCAUUAAACAUUCUGAGCUAUUAUCCUCACUGUGGGAGGAAGCCAAAGUAUUGAAAUAUAAUUUGGACCCCUAUCUUUUUAGCCAAUUCAGGGUCCACACACUCACAGAGUAUACAACACCAUUUCAUCGGUCUUAGGAAAACAAUAUUUGUUUCAUUACGGAAUGCUAACUGGCCCAUUGGCCCUUAAAAUGGCGGACUGAUUUUAUACUGCGUUCUUCUGCCUUCUGGCAGUUUCCUAGUUAUCUGAGUGCUGCUGUUUGUUGCCAAGUGAUAGCCUAAUCCUGUUUAUGUCCCAGCCCCUAUCGAGAAUGCCUACUGCCACUGGGCAGGCUUUAUGGCAGUCUGAACUGAAGCAACAUAGUCGAGUCCUACAGUAGGCAGGUUUAUUAACUUAUUCAGCUCGCUUUGUUGAGCAAUCCCAAGCAACCCUUGAUUUUGACUAUUACAUAUUUAAGGAAUAUUUGUUGUUCUCGAGUGGAUUAUGCAAUAUUUAUUUUACGAUGUGAACUGUUUCAUGAAUAGAUAAUGUGCAAAGCAGUUUGAAAACAUAAUAGUACAUACCUUGAUCAUGUUUAGUGUUCUAAAACCAAAUGGUUUCACACAAGUUCACAUGUAAGGUUUCAAAUGAACAUCCGAGGUUAGAUGUUUGCUCUGGAAAACCCAAGCUCCUUUCCAUUUGCUCCGUCAGUACACCGCAAGAGGUUCAUAGGUGUUUUCCACUUCCACAUUGUCAGGACAAUACAUUUUUUAAUAAUGAACGGUUAAAUAAUGAACGGUUUAUACUGUAUUUAUCAGAAUUAAGAAGCAGUCCUUAGAGGUCAACUUUUCACUGAUAGUCCCCGUGUUCAGGACAUAUCUCUGCACCCAUCCAUUCCCUGAGAGAAGUGCCUUCCAUCCCUAGCAACACAAGGCCAAACUGCACUUUAUUCCCUGAGCAGUGCAGAACAGUUGAUCGACAGGAUUGCGGUGCACUUCAGAUGCAACAGGAUGACAUUUGCAACCAGGCACAGAUUGCGCUUGACUGCUUCAUUUACGGUAAUAAUUAACUUACCGUGAUGCUGUUGUACUCCGUGAAAGAUUAUUGCCAAACAGAGUGGCUUGUUGUUCCUGUUGUGCUCUGUGAAAGACAGAUUAAAGUAUUUAGUUUUUACUGCUGUAGUCUGUGAAAGGCUAAUGCUUAACGAGGUGCUCUGGUAUUACGGUGGUAGUCUGUGAAAGGAUAAAGCUAAACGAAGAGGUUUUGUGCCCCCAUUGUAGUCUGUGAAAGGCUGAUUCUAAACUACGCAGUUUGUUGUUCCUGUUGAGGCCUGUGAAAGUCUGAUGCUAAAUGAAAUACGUUGUUGUUCUGUGUCAAAUCCAUUCAUUGUUUAUUGAAUGAACUUCACUUCAGCCCUGAUAGGCAUGGCUCAAAACUGAUGGAUUUAUAAUUUACUUGAUUAACAAGCCUUAAUUCACCUUGGUUCAGUUCGCCCUGUUAACCACAUUGAACUGUGACUAAACAUGGCAUUUUGCUUUUAACCUCUUGCUUUAUUCCUCUCAACACUUAAAACUGUAGAUUCAAUCUAGACUGUUUUAAUUCUAUUGCAUUUUUUAAAUCUUUAUUGUCAUUGUAAAGCACAUUGAAUUGCUUCUAUGUAUGAAUUGUGCUAUAUAAAUAAACUUACUUGCUUAAAUCCAAGUAUUAUACCCAAGUCCAGAAAUUAUAUAAACCUAAAUCCAAGUAUUAUACAGGUAGAAGUUAUGUCUCAGGAAAACA